AUUACUGUCAUCUUAAGACCUGGUACUGAUCUUUAUACGUGAGAUUGUCCGUCUGCAUGGCAUUCCUCACAAUAUUGUAUCUGAUAAAGGUUUUGGAGGGCUUUCAAUAAGAAAUUGGGGAUUGAAUUGUCUUUUUCAUCCUCUUACCACCCCCAGACUAAUGGUACAGCUGAGAAGGCUAACCAGUCUUUGGAGUUAUACUUGCGUUGUUUCGUUAAUAGCACUCAAGACAAUUGGUCUGAAUUAUCACCAUGGGCCGAGUUUGCUAGGAACAAUGCUGACCAUGACUCCUCUGGGCAUAGUCCAUUUUUUGUUAAUAAUGGCCGGCAUCCUACUGUCCUACCGGCUGUUUUUUCUGACACGGCUAUUCCUGCUUUGGAUGACCGUCUGGCUUCCAUCCGUGAUACCUGGGUUAAAGUUCAAUCUGCUCUGGGUACUGCUGCCGACCGUUUCAAGCAUUUUGCUGAUAAACGUCAAGGUGGCAACCCUGUUUACCAAGUGGGUGAGAGGGUUUGGUUAUCUUCUCGUAACAUCAGGCUCAAAGUCCCUAGCAUGAAAUUUGCUCCUAGGUUCCUUGGACCUUUUCGUAUCCUUCAUAGGAUCAAUCCUGUUGCGUACUCUCUGGCCCUUCCGGCCUCCUUGAAAAUUCCUAAUACCUUUCAUGUGUACUUGCUCAAACCUCUUGCAAUGUCUCAAGUGUCCCUCCUCCUCCCUUAGUUGUUUCUGGACAGGAAGAGUAGGAGGUCUCCUCCAUAACUGAUUCCAGGUUUUCUCAGGGCACUUUACAGUACUUGGUGGAUUGGAAAGGUUAUGGACCAUCCGAUCGUUCUUGGGUUCUGGUAUCUGAUAUACAUGCUGGUCGCAAGAUUUGCUAUUUUCAAGCCAAAUUUUCUCUCAAACCUGGCCCUGCCCACCCGGUGGGUGUUCUUCAGGUGGGGGGGGUAAUGUCACGUAUUCAUCUGCUUACAAAAAUGUGGUUAAUGACAUUUACUGUCUACACAGGAAAAGUUGUGCCGAGCAACAACCUAAUCCACAGAAGGGUUAAUGCUGAGCAGCAAUUAUGCAAAUGGGAUCUGGUAACUGCCUUUGGGGUCAAUGGCCGGCUACAGCCUAUCAGACCUAGAGGAGGGGUAUUUAGGCCCAGUUCUCAUCCUGCUCAGUGCACUGUCGUGGUUUCCCUUGAGGUUGUCCGAGAGCGCGUUAUUGAUUCUUGUUGUUUGACUUUGGCAUUGUUUUUGACUUCCCUGUUUUCUGGCAUCCCUGACUCCUGGCUUUUCCUUAUCGUUGUGUCUCUUUCUGUUUCCCUUGACCUCGGCUAUUCCUGACUGUCCUUUGGUACGUUAGUCCAGCAAUUCUAAGGUCCGGUAUACGUUACCUAUCAGUCCUCUGUGUUACACAAUUCUACGUGCUGGAUCAUUCUGUAAUCCUGACACUUUGUACUCCAGCACAUUGAAUUUGAAUUGAUUAACUUCAACAACUUCUUCUCAAUGGCAAUGUCAAGUUGUUUAUGAAUCCAAUAAGAAAAGUAUAGAUUAGUUCCCAGAGCACAAAUAGAGUAGUAAAGGUAAUAGAGACAGACGUUACUAAGGCUUAGAAUGGCAAGGCAUGAUUCAAAUAUUUUCAAAGCCAAGUCAAAACCAGAAAACCAUUAUUAUACACAUAAGGAAAUUUAUAUAAAGUACUAAAACCAUGAAAGGUCUUCAGAACACCAAUGCUUAGAAUGUGAAGUUCCGUAAACUUCUCAGGAGGCAAGCAUCAAAAAGAAGCUUGGACUUUGGGUCAAAUAAAAGACAUGUUAAUGCAGCAUCCUACAUCCAUUACAGCUAGAGGAGACAGUACCUAUGUCUGAGUAUUUGUAGGAAGGGCGGAAGCAAGAGGUACCUUGGUUAGCACACCCUCAUCUCUCGCUCCCUACAGUGAUUUUCUGUGGACUUGUAAAUUGGUUGCUAUUGCGAAGUUCACCAAUGAAAUCUUGCCACGUGAAAGAUUUUGACACACUUUAAAACUUGGUUUUUUUUAUAUUUUGUUAGCAAUUUUUCCUCGUGUAUAAUGACUUGGUUGUCUGGCAUUGACACAUUUAUUUGCUUGUCAAUGAGAAACAACAACAACAAACUCCCUAGGGCAAAUGCCACACCUACAAUCACCUUUCGACCCUUUAUCUCUGUUGUGUACAGAAUAAAUAUGCAAUGUCUCCAUCCUGUCUCCAAAUAAAAAAGAGUAACCACAUUUUCAGUUUUUUGUUUUUUUGGUUCACUCUGAUAAGGGUAAUAUUUUUAGUAUUAUAAAUUAUAAAGUUGGACUUACAGGAAUAGAAGGUGCUGACGGACCAGCUCAAACAAGCUCACAUUCUUGAGGGAGUGGAGUAAAAUGAAAAGAAGUAAGGUUAAGCUGUUUUUCAUAUAUGAAAAAGUAGGUUGCUAGAGGAGUUUACAAUAAAGGCUUAAAGAGAUCCUAUAGUGCCAGGAAAACAAAGCCGUUUUCCUGGCAUUAUAGGUGUCCCCCUACCUAGUGCCCCCCCGUCCUGCGGGGCUGAAGGUGUUAAAACCCCUUUAGUCACUUACCUGAAUCCAGUGUCAAUGUCCAUUUGUGCUGGGUCAGGCUCCGCCCACACUCACCCCACGCUGUCGUCAGCCAGCGGGGGAGACCUAAUGCACAUGCGCACAUAGCUGGUAGCUGACUUUUUAAUGUACAGUUGCCUGCCCUGUACAACUUGUACUAUCGUGAAGGCUGUUGAAGCUACUUAUAACACAAAUGAUCUAUGUCAUGAAGUCUUGACCAGGCGAUGGAGGAGGAACCACAAACUCAUUUAUCAUGCUGUCAAACUGAUAUAAUGUAUUUUGUCUAUGGGGUUAAUUAGAAGCUUCCAUUCCUUCUGCCUGCACCAUAAAAAAUAAAUAAAAAAUCAUAUUUCUAGCAAGCCCACCGUGCAAGUGCAUUCUGCAACUCCAAUUCGCUUACAAUCACUUUCAAAAUAUAAUAAAUUGUAUUGUCAGCUUUAUUGAGCUAGGUUUGGUCACAAUGUAUGUUAUUUCCCUCUGGGGACAGGACUAAAAUAGCUGCAUUUUUUUCUGCAGCUGAACAUAAUUGAGGCACACAAAAAGUGAAAAAUGAUCCAACACAGUUGCUUGCCAUAGGGUUAUCAUACAUUUAUAUCAUGCGAACAAAUACUCAAUAGCACACCCAUAUAUUACAAAACCCAAUCGCCAGUGAUUGCCUAUUGACUGAACACUGUUAGAAAGCUGACCAACUGGACUUCUACAAAGAUUUUAACUUUGAAUAAAUGCUGCAUUCAGACAGGUUUAUAUUCUAAAUUGUGAAUUGCAUAUGAUUGUGGAUCAUCAACAAGGGUGAGCCAAGGUUCAGUGACACAUUGCUUGCCCCUUUUUGCAUCUGCUCUUUCUAUGUGCAUCAGCUGUUUAACAAAAUUCAGUCACUAGUCAUGAUAAUUAACAACAGAUUACAAAUGGUUGAGGACAAAUAUCCCAUAAUUUUAUGCCUGAAUAAGGUUAGCUGUGUCAUGGGAUUGUCUGUUUAGGAAAUAAAAACUGCAUAACCUCCUUUCCCCCUUCCCUGCAACAUCUCUAGCCCACAACCCCUUGUGUGUAAAUGGGUAUGUGUGUUGCACGAAACGCACUUGGAAUUUGUGAGCCUGGGGGUAAUGUGCCCAUGUGACAUUGGGCGGGUAGUUACUUUAGUGUUACUGAGUGGGAGUGAAAUGAUGGGUGUAAAAUGCCUGGGGUGUUAUAAGUGAUUAGAUGAGUAAAUGUGGCUAGCAAGAUUACUGGGAAUUGCAAACAGUAUGCCUAAAGAGCCAAGCUGAGAAUUUGUUUUAAUUGGCUAUUUUGACCCAAUAUUUUAAAUUGCACAUUUAUCUCCCAGCUUAGUGAAUGGCUCAGUGCAUGUUUGUCUGUUUGUAUGUCUGUGUCAGUGAGUGUGUGAAUGGGUCGGUGUCUGUAUAUCAGUGUGUGUGUAUAGGUCAGUGUCUGUACUGUGAGUAUGUGUAUGGGGCCCUUCCACUGAAACUUUGCAUGGAGUCCUCAGAGUGCUUUCAGACCCAGUUAAUACCUGAUGAUUACAGUACUGUCUUCAGCAUGCAUUCUAUGAAUGCUAUGUGGUUAAUGUACUAGGCGUUAUCUGUGCAGCAGAAUAUGUACUGAUGGUAUAGGUAGCGGUUGCACACCUUCAGCACUCCAGAUGUUGUGGACUACAUCUCCCAUAAUGCACUUAC